UGGGGAAUAUUGGACAAUGGGGGCAACCCUGAUCCAGCCAUGCCGCGUGAGUGAUGAAGGCCUUCGGGUUGUAAAGCUCUUUUGGCGGGGACGAUGAUGACGGUACCCGCAGAAUAAGCCCCGGCUAACUUCGUGCCAGCAGCCGCGGUAAGACGAAGGGGGCUAGCGUUGUUCGGAAUUACUGGGCGUAAAGCGAGUGUAGGCGGUUGCCGUAGUCAGGUGUGAAAGCCUUGAGCUCAACUCAAGAAAUGCACUUGAUACUGGGUGACUAGAGGACCGGAGAGGAUAGUGGAAUUCCCAGUGUAGUGGUGAAAUACGUAGAGAUUGGGAAGAACACCAGUGGCGAAGGCGGCUAUCUGGACGGUUACUGACGCUAAGACUCGAAAGCGUGGGGAGCAAAACAGGAUUAGAUACCCUGGUAGUCCACGCCGUAAAACGAUGGGUGCUAGACGUUGGCGAGCUUGCUCGUCAGUGUCGCAGCUAACGCGUUAAGCACCCCGCCUGGGGAGUACGGCCGC
rnacentral:rRNA from 1 species